GGACCCGCACAAGUAGUGGAGCAUGUGGUUUAAUUCGAAGAUACGCGCAGAACCUUACCAACACUUGACAUGUUCGUCGCGACUCUAAGAGAUUAGAGUUUUCGGUUCGGCCGGACGAAACACAGGUGCUGCAUGGCUGUCGUCAGCUCGUGUCGUGAGAUGUUGGGUUAAGUCCCGCAACGAGCGCAACCCUCACUUUUAGUUGCCAUCAUUAAGUUGGGCACUCUGAAAGAACUGCCAGUGAUAAGCUGGAGGAAGGUGGGGAUGACGUCAAGUCCUCAUGGCCCUUACGUGUUGGGCUACACACGUGCUACAAUGGUAUCUACAACAGGAAGCAAGACUGCGAGGUCAAGCAAAUCAGAACGUUGCGGUGAAUACGUACCUUGGCUUUGUACACACCGCCCGUCACAUGCAGAAAGUUAGUUUUAC
rnacentral:rRNA from 1 species